rnacentral:lncRNA from 1 species
CGAACCUGGGACCUUCCGGUUACAAACGGUAGGCUCUACCGCUGCCAGGUCCGCCCUUCUUGUUUGGGGGCACGAAUGGCAGUAUAAUUUCUUGGUGAUUGGGGGCACAAUGCUCGGGUGUACGAUGUUCAUAUGUAUGUACCAUAGAAUUCAGGAUCCUCAUAUUUCAAUAUUUAUUUAAUGGAUUGUUGUUUACUACACCUUAACCUACCUGUGGGCAGAGAUGAUGUUGAAGCUUGGUAUUAUAUUGACAUGACAUUGUCUCUGUCAGUUCAACUAAAGAUUCAAACUGAACUUAAGCUUUGAAGUGAUCUGUUCACAGUGGUCACUCUAAGCUCUGACUCUUUUAGAUCUAUAGCACUGAGCCACUGAGCUGUCAUGGACCUGAUUUUUACAGUUACCAGUUGUACUAGUGUAAUAGCUUGUCCAGUCAGUUUCUUUUGAAACAGCGCUACAUUUCGGUGAGGGAUGUGGACUGUAAAAUGGUAUCAUCAUUAAGAAUGCUGGUUGCAGUGGGUGCUUGUCAUCAGACCAUGGGCAACUGCUGGACUGGUAUUGUGUUUUGGUAGCACAGUUCCUGAAUCCUGUUGUGUCAUAUUUACUUGUUUGUUUGACAUAAGCCUACAGAGAAAAUGAUGGAAUUUUAUCUAACUCAUUAUUUGUAUUAAAUAGCUUAUUUGUUUGAUUGGAGAAUGCACAGAAGAGCAUGUUCAACCCACCAUGUACUUGCAUGUUCAAUGUGGGCAUCAGGGGAAUGACGAGUAGAGGAUAGAUUUCUCCUUCCUUCAACUACCGUGAAGGGAUCGUUUAUCUCCUGACAUUUUCUUCUCAGUUCCUCCCAUCUGCUGCACUGACUUCUGCUUGAGAUUUUUCUGAACUGGAUUUUAAUUGUUUCCUUACCUUGCUGGUAAGGAAACCCUAGUUUGCUUGAGUGGAUUGCUCCAAUGAGAUUGAGUUUUUAUUUGCUGUGACUUGAGCAACUAUUAGUGGACUCCAUUGAUGGGAUUGAUAAGCCAAUCAAAUCCUUUCGGGUUUUUUCCAUGUUUGUUUGGGGGGGGGGGGGGGGGGGGGGAGCACGAAUAAAAAAAAGGGUGUGUACCUAGUGUUGUAGGCUUCCCGCACUUUGCGGGGUUUUGUGGGUCUGGGGAAGGGUAUCUUUAAGCGCCAAGCUUACCCACAACAUAAUACGAAGAGGUUGUGGCUCGAACCUGGGACCUUCCGGUUACAAACGGUAGGCUCUACCGCUGCCAGGUCCCCCCUUCUUGUUUGGGGGGCACGAAUGGCAGUAUAAUUUCUUGGUGAUUGGGGGCACAAUGCCCGGGUGUACGAUGUUCAUAUGUAUGUACCAUAGAAUUCAGGAUCUUCAUAUUUCAAUAUUUAUUUAAUGGAUUGUUGUUUACUACACCUUAACCUACCUGUGGGCAGAGAUGAUGUUGAAGCUUGGUAUUAUAUUGACAUGACAUUGUCUCUGUCAGUUCAACUAAAGAUUCAAACUGAACUUAAGAUCUGAAGUGAUCUGUUCACAGUGGUCACUCUAAGCUCUGACUCUUUUAGAUCUAUAGCACUGAGCCACUGAGCUGUCAUGGACCUGAUUUCUACAGUUACCAGUUGUACUAGUGUAAUAGCUUGUCCAGUCAGUUUCUUCUGAAACAGCGCUACAUUUUGGUGAGGGAUGUGGACUGUAAAAUGGUAUCAUCAUUAAGAAUGCUGGUUGCAGUGGGUGCUUGUCAUCAGACCAUGGGCAACUGCUGGACUGGUAUCGUGUUUUGGUAGCACAGUUCCUGAAUCCUGUUGUGUCAUAUUUACUUGUUUGAUUGACAUAAGCCUACAGAGAAAAUGAUGGAAUUUUAUCUAACUCAUUAUUUGUAUUAAAUAGCUUAUUUGUUUGAUUGGAG